rnacentral:rRNA from 1 species
GACGAACGCUGGCGGCGUGCUUAACACAUGCAAGUCGAACGGGGAGUUAGCAAUAACUCCUAGUGGCGAACGGGUGAGUAACGCGUAGACAACCUGCCUUCUGGAUGGGGACAACACCGCGAAAGUGGUGCUAAUACCGAAUGUGCCCGUAUCGGCUCCUGCCGGUGCGAGGAAAGGUGGCCUCUUUAUAUGCUACCGCCAGAAGAUGGGUCUGCGUCUGAUUAGCUAGUUGGCGGGGUAACGGCCCACCAAGGCGACGAUCAGUAGCCGGUCUGAUAGGAUGAACGGCAACACUGGGACUGAAACACGGCCCAGAGUACGACGGGAGGCAGCAGUGGGGAAUCUUCCGCAAUGGACGAAAGUCUGACGGAGCAACGCCGCGUGAGUGACGAAGGCCUUCGGGUUGUAAAGCUCUGUCUUCGGGGACGAAGGGCAUUCGGGUAAAUAAUCCGGGUGCAUGACGGUACCUGAGGAGGAAGCCACGGAUAACUACGUGCCAGCCGCCGCGGUAACAC